CCCUCUUUCCCUCCAAUUUUAACUCUUUGCAAGGUUUUUUGAAAGAUGUCUUUUAGCCAUCUUUCAAGCAAACUGUUAACAAAAGAACCAUAUCCUUCUAAUACCUCUUCUAAUAUCCUCUCUUCAAUGCUAAAACCAUUUACAUUUUGUUCACCAAAUACCUCCCCCAUACACCUCUUUAUCUUGGACGAGAAAACCUCUGCCAUCUCCCUGUCCUGAGCCUGAUUUCUAUUAAAAACAUACCUGUUCUUUAUCAUAUCAAGAAACCCAGUUGAAGUAACAGGAUCAGAGGUGGUUUCACGAGUUAAAUCGCUCGAUAUGGGGCUAAACUCCCCUUGUUUUUCUUCACUUUCAUCGUCUUCAUUGGCCUUGAUGUUGAGAUCAAGUGUGUUGAAGCUUGACUGCCUUGAGAAGUCUUUUUUCACGUUUCCAUUUUCAAUUUCUUUGUUUUCACUGAUUCUUGGACUCUUGGUCUUGCUUGAAAUGUCCCACUCAGCUUUUCUCUUAUGAUCCUUGUUGGUUGGAGUUUUUUCCUCCACCUCCAAGGUCAUCCUGAUAACAGAAUCUUGAUCCAUCUUUCCAUCUUCAUAGCUCAUGAAAUGGCCACCUGUUGUUAAAAUGAAUAUUGCUUGGCUAAUGUUCCCUGAUUCUCCAAAUUUUCCAGUUUCAAAUCCAUUAGCAAGGAGUUUCAUGAACUGCGUAUCAGCAAAAUCAACAUCUUCCACCAAAGCAACAAUCUUCUCUUGAUUUCUUAAAGUUUUUUCUAUUGUCUCUGAAUAUGUGGCUUCAUUAUCCUUUUUCCUCAUGUUCAUGCAGAGUAGAAAAUCAACAGACCCCAAAACAGACUCUGCAAUUGCAAGGGCCAAUCUUCUUUUUCCUAGAGCGUCAUUGCCUUGGAUAAGUAGCCAAGUCCCUUUUCCAGUUGAUUUGGAUUCAAUCAAAGCUUCUACUAUAGAAUGAAUGAUUUCAGAUUGCCAGGGCACAUUCUCUUGCAAUAACUUACACAAAUUACUCCUCCCUCUGUCUCUAUCCCCACCAUCAGAGGGUAAAGAAUUGCCAAGGGCAAGUGUGAUCUUGUCUUCCUUACCCCGAGUGUUCUUGAAAGAAUCCAGGUUUGGUUCUCCUGACUGUAAUUGCUUUUGGGUUCCAUUGCCAAAGUUGAAAUCAAUAGUGCAAGAUUGUUGACGUCUAAAUUUAGGCACAAGAUUGGAGGUCUGGUUAGGCUUCAAAACUAAGUCUGCGAAGGAGACUGGAUUUGAAUCUGGGAAGAUGUUUUGGCUCGGCCACCAAGGGCAUGAUGAAGCAUAUGAAUGGCUCUUCUCAAUUAGCCAUUGAUUAUUUUUGUUGCUGUUGUACAAGGUAUUGGAACCCAAAUGGCUUUGAAUUUGCCUUCCUUGGUGGUGUUGGCCCUGGCAGAAUCCAUUCCAUUUUCUUCUCAACUCAACCAAUUCAUCCUUUUGAUUGGCACUAGUGCCUUGUGGAUUAAGCCAAGGAGGUAAAUUUUUCUGUUGCCCUGAUUUGAAGAGUUGAGCCUCUUUUUCACAACUGGAGGUGCAUUCUGGACAGCAAGUUAGCUUAUCUUGCUCUUCCUUGCCAUUGCUAAUGAAGGGUUUUGUUUCUAGUAAUUGAGAUGGGUUUUGGGAGAAAGUUAACCUUGAUUCAUUGAUACUGGUACCAUGGAGGCUCAAACCAAGUCCUCCUGAGGGAACUGAAACAGCUUGAAGUGCCCAUUGAAUCUCCAGAGGAGGUUGCCUCAUCUGGCACCUCAUGUAUGUCUGAUAACUUGCAGUAGCCAUUAACCACACCUUAGUGUUUGAGCUGCUAUAUUCUGAGAUUAAUCUUCCUAUUUCUGCCACGAGAUGAUCAACUGGACUAUAACCUGCUGCAGCUGAGUCCUCUCCAUUCAUUACACUUUCUUCAAUUGUCCACUUCAGGUCUCCUGUAUAGAUAAUGGCCCCACCUUCUCCAGCAGAAUCCACUCUCCUUUUCAGUUGAGAGAUAUUCAUUUCCACAUCUUCUUUCUUCAUGAACCUCAAAGAAACUGGCGAAAAUUGAAAUUUAACAAACUGGAUUUGUUUCAAUUCCACUGGAACCUCUCCUCUCUCUACCCUUCCCAUCAGUUCUCCAACAAGUCCUUCCGUUAUGGACACACAGUCACCUACUAUCACAGUAUUCUUUCUCUUCUUUCUUAAGAAAACCUCCAAUACCAACUUGAUAUCUUCCUUCACAGAAUUUGAUUCAGUGAAAUAGUUGCUUGAGAGCUUCUUUUGUGGAGAAAAGAGAAAAGGAUUUUUCUCAGAAGAGUAAGAUAAGAAAUGGGUUUGCCAGAAAGUAGUAGGGUUUAUGAUCUCUCUCUGAGUUUCACCAGGAGAAGGUGAACAAGGUGAAGAGAAAACACCACCACCUGUAGUGGUGUAACACUGAAACACAGAAGAAGCUGAAGAGUCCUCUAUAUUGUUCUUCACAGCAGUACUAGAGAACCCAGCUUCUCUCAUAACCCUACUAACGCUAGGAUCAUCUAAAAUAGAAAUUAUAAGCUGUUCUAACUCUACCUUGAUGGUCAAGAGAGGUUGUUGUUGCUGUUGCUCUAUGCAGCCUCUUCUCUGAUGAGCUUGUGCUCGUUUGAGUGCAGCAAUCAGAGCAUUGGAAAGAGAGGGCUGGCCAUGAAGUAAAGGACCAGGAGUUGUUGGUAGCCUGUUGAGCGCAACAUUGAAGCAAAGCUCAAGAGCUCUGCAUUGAAGAGGAUGAGAAGAUUGGUGAGGCUGAGAUUUGAGACAAGCCCUUCUCAAAAGACUAGCUCUUGAGCUUAGCAAGGUAGCAGCCACAUGAAGAGGAGUGACCUGAGCAUGGCCUCUCCUCCUUGCCAAGCUAAGAGAAUGCUUCAAGACUGAAGCAGCCUCUGUGGUGAGGGUCUGCUGGACCGUACAAGCUCCUGAGCGCAUUACUUGGCCAAAACCCACCCCCCACACCACCCCCUUUGUUUGAGCACCACUAGUUCUUGCAGGAUCAAAACUUCUUCUCUCUUUCUUUCUUCUCGUAUCCUCUCUCUUCCCCUAACACCACCCCUAACCCUCUCUUUUGUCUCUUCGAAGUGAUCUAGAGACUGAACCAAGCUUUGGUAUCAAAAGCUGGUUAGCUUCCUUUCCUGUAUGAUUACAGCAAACAGAAAACCACCUACCUGAUAAGCUCAAAUGGAAAAUAUCAAAAAUAUAUAUAUGUGCAGUCAGAUUUUCUGAAAGGGAAGCUCUUAGAGAGAUCUUAGUAGAGUUUUAGAGACCAGAACACCUUCUUUAUACUUCUUGUAGUUGAUAUUUUCCUUUUUCUUUUUAAUCUUUUCCUUUUUCUUUUUAUAUACACAAAUAUAGUAAGAAUU
rnacentral:misc_RNA from 1 species